rnacentral:lncRNA from 1 species
UAGUCCAGUUCCCUUUGCUUCCCUCAGUCCUCGCGCCACCCCUCGGAUGCCCCGGUGGAAGCAUGUUCGCGGCAUGCCGAACACGGUUUCCGGCAGCGCGGCCUUGCGCCCCCCGCCCACGCCGAGCCGCCGGCGUGGGCGCGCCCUCCCCCGCCGCGCUGCAGGCAUCCGUGCUCGGCCUGCCCCGCCCAUGCUUCCCCCGGGGCCUCCGAGGGGUGGCGCGGGGACUGCGGGAAGCCCCGGGAACUGGACCAAUGGCGUGCCGGGGAGCGUAUACCGGACUUUUCACCCGUCUCUGGCGCCGACGCUCGGCGGCAGGAUCGCGUUGGAGCUCGGUGUAGUCGAAGUUUAAGUCGCAGCCUGCAGCUGUUUCAAAGGGAGACGCCCGCCCACUCUCCCCUCGCCAAAGGCCAGCCUGGAAGCCGCCGUGGACACCGGCUGGGAAGGGGUCUCCUAAGGUGUCCAGGCUCCCGCAGGAACACGCCUGCCAGGUGUUGGCCGCGACAAAGGCUCGCGGUACCAGAAUCGCCGCCACCACCCCCCAGCCACUGUGCCCUGACCCUGUCGGAGGCGGGCCGGCGUUCAGAACAGGAAACCGAGGGGGCCAGUGACAGGCUGAACACGAGGCAGGAGCCCCUGACGGACCCCUUUCUCCCCGGUGAAACCAAGAAACUGCUAAGGCUCGGGCUAGCCGGCGACAACAGUACCGAGGAUGCCAUUGGCCAGGCCAGGGGGGCCCCCGGGUGGAAGGGGCUGAAUGGCCUCCUGUCACUGCCCCUGCUGGCUGCUGGAGGCGUGCCAGCUCUGCCGCCCAGGCAGCUCCCCAGGCCCCUGCCGCCGUCUGCUCGGGUGUCCCUCCCUGCAGACUUCCUUCCGCCCGGGCUGUCCCAUCCUGUUGAUCUGAGCCCAGGAGCUGGAGCAGCUGGGGGGUGGGGGGCACCUGCUGCAGGCAGGAAGCUUGCCUGUGUGUGCCCAGCCCUGGGCCUGCCUGCCUUCCUUCCUGUCAGGGAGCCGCCCCCUGGGCUGGCCACAGCCAGACGCUUCAAGCCUAAGUGUGGGGCUGCUGGCGUAGGGUCGCCGUGUGCUGAGAAGCCGCGGGAGAGCUGCAGGACAGGAGAGAGGCAGUGCCUGGGGCAGUGGUGGCGGCAGGAUCGCUGGAGAUUCAGAGCCAGGUGUCCCACAGGGACCUCAGAGUCACAGAACCCAAACUCGAGUGGCUGCUGCUGCUCUUUCCUGUGGGCCCCUCACCUCCCAUGUGGCCUUUGCCUUCCCCCUCAAGGCCCCAGUUCCCGUUGGCACCCACGUCCCCUAUAUCCACCCUUCAAAUGCUGCUGCAGGUCAGUCUGCCAUCAACUCUUGCUGAGAUUGAACAAUCUGUGA